GACGAACCGAGCGAACGUUGUUCGGAAUCACUGGGCUUAAAGGGCGCGUAGGCGGGUUCGCAAGUCUGUGGUGAAAUCCCUCGGCUCAACCGAGGAAUUGCGCCCAAAACUACUGGGCUUGAGGGAGUUAGAGGUGAGCGGAACUCACGGUGGAGCGGUGAAAUGCGUUGAUAUCGUGAGGAACACCGGAGGCGAAAGCGGCUCACUGGGGCUUCACUGACGCUGAGGCACGAAAGCUAGGGGAGCAAACGGG
rnacentral:rRNA from 1 species